rnacentral:misc_RNA from 1 species
GAUGAAGAACGUAGCGAAAUGCGAUAAGUAAUGUGAAUUGCAGAAUUCAGUGAAUCAUCGAAUCUUUGAACGCACAUUGCGCCCGCCGGCACUCCGGCGGGCAUGCCUGUCCGAGCGUCAUUUCAACCCUCAGGACCCCCUUCCGGGGGGGACCUGGCGCUGGGGAUCAGCGGCCUCCGGGCCCCUGUCCCCCAAAUGCAGUGGCGGUCGCGCCGCAGCCUCCCCUGCGUAGUAGCACACCUCGCACCGGAGAGCGGCUCGGCCACGCCGUGAAACCCCCAAUUUUUCAAGGUUGACCUCGGAUCAGGUAGGAAUACCCGCUGAACUUAAGCAUAUCAAUAAGCGGAGGA